rnacentral:misc_RNA from 1 species
AAUCAAAAUCAGUUGAUAGUAUUACAUCAUAUUAACUGAUGAUAUUAAUUCGAACUCAAAAUCAAAGUUACAUGCACCUUAUCUAGUUAAUAUGAUUGGUUUAAAUUUUACAAAUGAUGUAAAACAAAUGAUACACUGAUCUACAUAUGGCCAAUCCAGCUAUUGAGCUACAAAAUAUUUGUAUAUCAUAUACUUUAGACAGGGAGUAGUUUCCAUUCCCCCAUAUGUUCCUAUAGGCUAUAGUCUUGUUCUUUGUCCCAUUUGCAGUCUUCUGUUACCAGUCGAAAGGAUCCAUCAAUGAAAUGACUAAGCAAAAAUUUGGCCGUUCUGCAACAUUAUCUCUCUGGACAUAGAAACAGUGACUCAGAUGCAAUGUGUCGAGUGAAAAUCUUCUGCUGACAAAAGACUAGUGAUCAGACGCUUCAGCCUUUGAGCACCAGGGCCAGGAUUAAGUUCAGUUGUGUUUGUGUUGAUGUUAUCUGGGAUGGUCCCAUUUGCAUCUCCUUUGUUUCUGAACCACUCACCUGGAACAAAACCAUCAGCUGUGCGACCCAAAAUAUUGGAAUCGAUCUUGUCAAGAACUGGGUCGUUCUUGCCAAAUUUCCUAGCAAAUGGGGCAUUGCUGUCAACCAUUCUCUGGUAGUCAUCAACUGUGAGGAAAUGUGGGUGUUGUUUGGGAGGGUUGUCCCAAGAUAUGAAGUGAAGGUCAUGGUUAACUGUAGUGUUCUUGAACUCCUCAGCAUUGCAGAUCACUGUGUGGAAAUACCCCUCAGGAGAAGAGAGGAAGUUCGCAUAAUACAUGAGGACUAUCCUUGGGAGGUUGUCCCAACCCCACAGGCAAUAUUCCACAAAAGGGCGAGAAAGCAUCAUCCAAGCAGAACCUAUGGAAAUUCAUCAACAAAAUACAUGGUUAAACUCAAAGUACUAAAACAAUCUGAUUUUUUAUUUAUUUGUUUAAGUUAGAAAUAGGAUCAAGUGUCCAUGACAAUAAAUGUCUUUGACAGUCAUUAACACAAGGGGAAAAGCAACUGACAAAAUGUUAAUAUAAGAUUGAAGUUCUGCUAUUAGAAGAAAGGAGAGGGCAAUAGAAACUGCCUAAAAAGAAAAUGCUCCCGGAGGUUUCUAUCUGCAGAAAAAGAAGACAGUAAAUAGGUGUUUUUUUUUUCUUUCUAUAACAACACCAAAAAUCCUAGCCUGGAUUUACUUAUUAAGAGUCCUUGGCAUAUUUCCUGUUUCAUAUUAUUAUCUAUUUCUUCAUUACAGUUUAUUUAUUCAUUUUAAGCACAGGAUUUUGAAGUACAAUGCAGUAAAAUUCAGUUGCAUCCAAGAAGUCGGAAAAUGGAAAAGAAUGAGAUUGACACCAUAAUACCCUAGAAGAUAUCUGAACUUGGCACCCAAUUUAAAAUUUGUUUUGUGUUUUAGACUUAAUAGUUAUGUAUUGAGAUAACUAAAUCCUGACCACGCAUCUGCCGCUAAGCAAUUAUGAUAUUUCUACUUUGGUUACUAAGUUGCUUAAUAUGGCAAAAAUCUCUGCCAUCUACAGGCACAUAAUUUGACGAAGCACAUAGCAACAGAGCUUGGGUGCCUUAUGCAGCAUUUUGUACAGUUCAGAUACUGCAGCACCAUCAUAUUGUAUUAUAACCAAACUUAUACUAUAAGUCUCCAGAAACAGAUUAUAACACCUCAAUAUGAAUUUUUGUUACACACUAACUCUAUAAGCUUGCAUCAAUAAGAAGUUCAUGUGCUCCUUCGCAACUCAUCUCCUAGAAAAAUGAACUAUGUUGUGAUUUUCAGCUACUAGACUAUUGUAACAUUUUUUUCUACAACUCUGUAAUACAAAUUCAAAUGUUUUAAUAAUAAACACUUCAUUGUCUUAAACUGGAUUGUUCAUACAAUUCAACAAUACUUCAAUCUCUAGAAUUUCGCAAUCUCAGCCUGUUAUUCUUCUAAUAACUAGAGCUAAGAUGUGAGAGUAAUGCUCAGAAUGUUGAGAAUCAUAGACCCAAAAAAAAAGAAGGAUUUGGGUGUUUGUGGUCUUUCUCCAAAAAUUUCUCCAACAAGUUGCACCUAAAAUUUCACUGGUCAGGCAUUUGUUGAGACUACAAACAAAAAUUCCCUAUGAUGAAACAUUUUACAUAUUUAGGAGACAUCACAAAGAUAAAAGCAAACAAUAACUAUUUAUAAUGCAAAAUUGACUGUGCAGAUGGGCCAUCAUAUUAUGACUACCAAGAAAAUGGGAAAUAAAUAGAGUUUACUGCUGCACAUUAAUGUCCUUAAUUCAAACCCACAACAAAUCUUAACAAGAAAAAAGGCCAUUUAUGUAAGAUAUCAAAUAGGCUGCAACAAAAUGAGAUCAAUUUAAUAAAAAUCCAUACAUCAUCAAAAUAUGACAAGAUAAGCAAGGGACUAUCAUUGUUCCUUCUGUGCUUAAUUACUGAAUGGUUAGAAGUGAAAUCCUGUUUUUGGUUAUUUGUCCUUCAUCUUACCUGUAAACAGCUUAUAUGCUGUUGGCACACUCCUUUUCUCUGGUACCCAAUAAACAUCUGACUUUUGCAGGCUAUACAACCCUGGAUCAAUUAUAACAGGCUUGGCCCUCUGAUACCUGUGGAGCACAAGAAAAACUCGUCUCCAAGCAUGAUGUAUACAUAAUAUUGCAGAUUAAACUACAUAGUUUUCACUCGAUAUGCAGUAAAAACUGAAAAAUAAGAACAAGUUGAGAAUGGAUGAAUCACAUACUCCUUCCAACCAAUGUCACUGGUGUGCUCAAUAAAAUUAAGGUUUCUUGGAAUUGUAGACAAAGUAUGAAGCAGAUCUGUGAAAAAAAAAAUUCGUAGGAAAUCAAACUAAGGCAUGUAGAGAUACUUUUAUUUAUUUAAUAAAAGAAAUUUCCAAUGGAAGAACUAGAUGCAAAGCCAGAAGGACAGAGUCAGCCGAGCUUUAUUAGUUGUGAAGUUGAAGCAACAUAUCAAACGCACAUGAUAUAAAUAAAACUGGGGAAAAUUAGAGCUGUAAGUGAUGUGGCAUUUUGUUAGUUAAUUACAGUUGCAUAAGGAUUUGGGCCACCAUUGCCACUGAAACAAAAACAAACAGACAACAAAUUCAAUCAGUAAUUAGGAAUAAAAAAUAGUAAAACUGGUUAGGUUGGUGGUAUUAAUACCAAAUUUGAUACUUGCUUCAAAUGCUAACUGGUAAAAUAUAACUGACCAACAGAAUCAAUCCAAAAAGAACAAAACAAAUGUAAUUGCAUUAAUGCUGCAGGUAAUUAGCAAAAUUAGUAACACUGAUAAAUGCAGAAACAACCCAAUGAACAAAAUAUUUCUUCACUAAUGAAUGAAGAACUAGACCACCAAACCCAUUUUAAAAAGAAGGGGGGGAAAAACCUAACUUGUGCUCACGCGUCAAUUCAAAACUUAGUGAUUCUAUCUUCAUUCUCUUGAAUAUGCAAAAGUACCCAAUGGACAAAACAAAAUACCCAGAAAAAAUAAUGCAGUUACCCUUUUACAAAUCAAACCAUAAAUUUCAAAACAAGCAGGGGAUUAACAAAGCAACUGUUAAUGAACACAGAACCAUACCAUCUUGAGUAAGCAAGGGAUAAUCGGAAGCACUCAAAUUGAUAAACCAAUCCCAGUCCCCACCAUCCCUCAACAAAAUGGCCGCAGCAUGAAGGGUAUUACUAACCAUAGUAGGACCUCUAUACGUUACCAAAUUAGACCUCACAACAACCCUCACAUUCCCCACCUCCUUAAAAAGCUUCUCGCUUCUCACCCACAUCACUAGGUCCAACCUCUCCUCCGCCGUCGCUUCCAAGUCCAAAUGCACCGCAUACUGAUUCCUCGGAUGAUACAACGCUUUCAGUGUCCUCUUCGCGCUCACUCCAUCCCCAGCAGAUCCAGAUAUCAAAUACGCAAGCCGAGGUAACCUUCUUGGUGAAACCACAGGUUUAGGCAACUUAAAUUCCACAAAAUGCGGAAACUGAGGACGGAAAUUAUUAGUGUUUCCAAGCUGGCGAAGAAACAGCAACUGGGUAGAAGCGGACGAAAAAGUAAUGGUAAUGAGAAUCAAAAGAGUAGAGAAUAAGAGCGAAAAAACAAACAGAAGGAACCAUUUGCGCUUCUUCUGCAACUUAUUGGCUGUGUUGCUGGUUUCCAUGAAGAUGAACCCAAGAAAGCGUGUGAUAUUCUAAGAAUGUGAGAUGGGGAUCUGUGUCCACCGCCACCGUCGGUCACGGAAACCAAUCAAGAAUGAAGAUAAGAGCGUGUUGGAAUUGGGUGGAGGAGUAGAAGCAUAGUAGAAUAGCACUAGCAGCAGUGGAAGAAAGCAAUAGUUU